AUUAGUGGCGAACGGGUGAGUAACACGUGGGCAAUCUGCCCUGCACUCUGGGACAAGCCCUGGAAACGGGGUCUAAUACCGGAUACGACCAUCUCGGGCAUCCGAUGGUGGUGGAAAGCUCCGGCGGUGCAGGAUGAGCCCGCGGCCUAUCAGCUUGUUGGUGGGGUGAUGGCCUACCAAGGCGACGACGGGUAGCCGGCCUGAGAGGGCGACCGGCCACACUGGGACUGAGACACGGCCCAGACUCCUACGGGAGGCAGCAGUGGGGAAUAUUGCACAAUGGGCGGAAGCCUGAUGCAGCGACGCCGCGUGAGGGAUGACGGCCUUCGGGUUGUAAACCUCUUUCAGCAGGGAAGAAGCGCAAGUGACGGUACCUGCAGAAGAAGCACCGGCUAACUACGUGCCAGCAGCCGCGGUAAUACGUAGGGUGCGAGCGUUGUCCGGAAUUAUUGGGCGUAAAGAGCUCGUAGGCGGCUUGUCGCGUCGGAUGUGAAAGCCCGGGGCUUAACCCCGGGUCUGCAUUCGAUACGGGCAGGCUAGAGUUCGGUAGGGGAGAUCGGAAUUCCUGGUGUAGCGGUGAAAUGCGCAGAUAUCAGGAGGAACACCGGUGGCGAAGGCGGAUCUCUGGGCCGAUACUGACGCUGAGGAGCGAAAGCGUGGGGAGCGAACAGGAUUAGAUACCCUGGUAGUCCACGCCGUAAACGUUGGGAACUAGGUGUGGGCGACAUUCCACGUCGUCCGUGCCGCAGCUAACGCAUUAAGUUCCCCGCCUGGGGAGUA
rnacentral:rRNA from 1 species